AAUAGUCCUGUAUGUUAAACGAGAAGACUUCAGAUAUGAUCCAGAGUACCACGGGACACGUGAAACCCUGUGGGAAGCAGGAGGGACCACCCUCCAAGGCUAAAUACUACCUAGUGACCGAUAGCGUAUAGUACCGUGAGGGAAAGGUGAAAAGAACCCCGGGAGGGGAGUGAAAUAGAACCUGAAACCCUGCACUUACAAGCUGUGGAAGCACAUUUCUUGUGUGACCGCGUACUUUUUGUAGAACGGGCCAACGAGUUACGUUAAGUAGCAAGGUUAAGCACUUAAGGUGCGGAGCCGUAGCGAAAGCGAGUUUUAACUGAGCGUUCAGUUACUUGACGUAGACCCGAAACCGGGCGACCUACCCAUGAGCAGGAUGAAGCGAAAGUAAAAUUUCGUGGAGGUCCGAACCCACGAGCGUUGAAAAGCUCGGGGAUGACUUGUGGGUAGCGGUGAAAUUCCAAUCGAGCCCGGAGAUAGCUGGUUCUCCCCGAAAUAGCUUUAGGGCUAGCCUCAAGGUGAGAGAUACGGAGGUAGAGCACUGAAUGUCCUAGGGGGUAUUGCACCUACCGAAGACUAUCAAACUCCGAAUGCCGUCAUCUUAUACUUGGGAGUCAGACUGUGGGUGAUAAGAUUCAUAGUCGAAAGGGCAACAGCCCAGAUCGUCAGCUAAGGUCCCUAAAUGUAAGUUAAGUGGUAAAGGAUGUGGGAUUGCACAGACAACCAGGAUGUUGGCUUAGAAGCAGCCACUCAUUCAAAGAGUGCGUAAUAGCUCACUGGUCGAGUGAUCCUGCGCCGAAGAUUUCCGGGGCUAAAACUUACUACCGAAGCUACGGCAUCAGUAAUGAUGGGUAGGGGAGCUUCCCAUACGGGUUGAAGCAUGACCGUAAGGACAUGUGGACAGUAUGGGAGUGAGAAUGUUGGCAUGAGUAGCGAGAUGUGGGUGAGAAUCCCACAGGCCGUAAACCCAAGGUUUCCAGGGGAAGGUUCGUCCGCCCUGGGUUAGUCGGGACCUAAGCUGAGGCCGAAAGGCGUAGGUGAUGGACAACAGGUUGAUAUUCCUGUACUACCGAUAACCGUUUGAGAGAAGGGAUGACACAGUAGGAUAAGCUAAGCACACUGUUGGUUAUGUGUGCCCAAGCAUUGAGGCAGUCAAAGUAGGCAAAUCCGCUUUGAUAAUGCUGGGAUGUGAUGGGGAGCGAAAUUUAGUAGCGAAGUAGCUGAUUUCACACUGUCAAGAAAAGUCUCUAUCGAGGUUAAAGGUACCCGUACCGCAAACCGACACAGGUGGGUGAGGAGAGUAUCCUAAGGCCAGCGAGAGAACUGUUGUUAAGGAACUCGGCAAAAUGACCCCGUAACUUAGGGAUAAGGGGUGCCACCAUCAGGUGGCCGCAGAGAAUAGGCCCAAGCGACUGUUUACCAAAAACAUAGGUUUCUGCUAAGUCGCAAGACGAUGUAUAGGAGCUGACGCCUGCCCGGUGCUGGAAGGUUAAGGGGAUCUGUUAGAGCAAUCGAAGCAGUGAACUUAAGCCCCAGUAAACGGCGGCCGUAACUAUAACGGUCCUAAGGUAGCGAAAUUCCUUGUCGGGUAAGUUCCGACCCGCACGAAAGGCGUAACGAUUUGGGCACUGUCUCAACAACAGACUCGGUGAAAUUGUAAUUCCGGUGAAGAUGCCGGAUACCUGCGACAGGACGGAAAGACCCCAUGGAGCUUUACUGUAGCUUGACAUUGGGUCUUGGUACUACAUGUACAGGAUAGGUGGGAGGCUUUGAAACCAGGACGCCAGUUUUGGCGGAGCCAUCCUUGGGAUACCACCCUUGUAGUACUGGGACUCUAACCAUAGGCCAUGAAUCUGGUCUUGGGACACUGUCAGG
rnacentral:rRNA from 1 species